rnacentral:rRNA from 1 species
GAUCCUACGGGAGGCAGCAGUGGGGAAUAUUGCACAAUGGGGGAAACCCUGAUGCAGCGACGCCGCGUGAAGGAUGAAGUAUUUCGGUAUGUAAACUUCUAUCAGCAGGGAAGAAAAUGACGGUACCUGACUAAGAAGCCCCGGCUAACUCCGUGCCAGCAGCCGCGGUAAUACGGAGGAUGCGAGCGUUAUCCGGAUUUACUGGGUGUAAAGGGUGCGUAGGUGGCAGGGCAAGUCAGAUGUGAAAGCCCGGGGCUCAACCCCGGUACUGCAUUUGAAACUGUCCAGCUGGAGUGCAGGAGAGG